UCCAAGAGCAUGGAAAAUAAGCAAAGUAAUCGAAAGCAUAAAAGGGAAGAGUCUGCCUUUAGAAGUAGCAUUUUUGCAGAAAUGUGAAUGCGCUCUAGUGAAGCCAAGGUUACUUAACAAGGCAAGCGAAAACAGAAUUUACAAGGCAUAUUGCUAAAAAAAUAUCAAUACAAACUACACAAAAAUUGUGAAAUACAUUGGAAGCAAGAAAGCAGCAAGGAUGGUUGAUCUUCUCUGAAAGAGAAUAGAAGAAGUGUAGAGAAGCAAAGUUAAUUCUUUUCAUUGGUUUCCACUGAAUAAAGUAGGUAUUCUGCACUGUAGCGGGGGGGAGGGGCAGUUCUGAAGAGCAAAGUCAAAUCAAUGUAACAAAACAAUGUGACAUUUUAAGCAUGACAAGUUCUGAUGUGAAAUCGUUGUUACAAAAAUUCACAGCUAUUCACUAAAAUUGGAAAUUUUGCCAGCAACUUGAAAAGUAGUCAAUGUGACACCAGUUUUUUUUUUUUAAAGGGCGGCCCUGGAGAGCUAUGAAAUUACAAACCCAUUAGUCUUGUGACUGUUCUGGGUAAAUGUAAACUUUGAAUGAUCAAACAUACAGAGGAACAAGUCUUGCUGAAGGAGAAUUAGCAUGGCUUCCUCAAAGGGAAAUCCUGGCUUACCAGCCUUAGGGCGUUCUUUAAGGAUAACGACAAGCAUGCAAAUAGAAGCAAAUAAAUAUUACAUACCUGGUUUUCUUUUUUUUAAAGGCACCUUUG